UACGAAGGGGGCGAGCGUUGUUCGGAAUUACUGGGCGUAAAGGGCGCGCAGGCGGCUCUGAAAGUCAGAUGUGAAAGCCCCGGGCUUAACCUGGGAACUGCAUUUGAUACUCUGGAGCUUGAGUACGGGAGAGGAUAGUGGAAUUCCCAGUGUAGAGGUGAAAUUCGUAGAUAUUGGGAAGAACACCCGUGGCUAAGGCGGCUCUCUAGUACGGUACUGACGCUGAGACGCGAAAGCGUGGGGAGCGAACAGG
rnacentral:rRNA from 1 species